rnacentral:rRNA from 1 species
GACCGGCGCACGGGUGAGUAACACGUAUCCAACCUGCCGAUGACUCGGGGAUAGCCUUUCGAAAGAAAGAUUAAUACCCGAUGGCAUAGUUCUUCCGCAUGGUGGAACUAUUAAAGAAUUUCGGUCAUCGAUGGGGAUGCGUUCCAUUAGGUUGUUGGCGGGGUAACGGCCCACCAAGGCAACGAUCAGUAGCCGGUCUGAGAGGAUGAACGGCCACAUUGGAACUGAGACACGGUCCAAACUCCUACGGGAGGCAGCAUG